GCUGAGCAGAUUUCAUCUCAAACAAAGCCGAUGGCAGAAGAUGUUUGGAGAAGAACUUCAGGCCGUGGACUGAAAAGAUCAAAGCAGCUCGUGCU